rnacentral:tRNA from 1 species
UAGUUCAGUUGGUAGAGCAUGGCGUUUGAAACGCCAGGGUUAUAGGUUCAAUUCCCAU